rnacentral:rRNA from 1 species
GAUGAACGCUGGCGGCGUGCCUAAUACAUGCAAGUCGAGCGAACGGACGCGACGCUUGCUUCUCUGACGUUUGCGGCGGACGGGUGAGUAACACGUGGAUAACCUACUUAUAUGACUGGGAUAUCUUCGGGAAACCGGAGCUUAUCCCGGAUAAUAUUCUGAAGCGUAUGGUUCAAUAGUGAAAUACGGCGUUGGUGUCUCUUCUCGAUGGAUCUCGGCUGCAUUGGCUGGUUGGUACGGUUACGGGUUACCACGGGUAGUAUUCGUAGCCGACGUGUGAGGGUGGUCGGCCACACUGGAACUGAGACACGGUCCAGACUCCUACGAGAGGGAGCAGUAGGGAACCUUCCGCAAUGGUCGAAAACCUGACGGAGCAACGCCGCGUGAGAUGUAAAGGUCUUCGGAUCGUAAAACUCUGUUAUUAGGGAAAAACAGAUGUGGAAGUAACUGUAGACAUCGUGACGGUACCUAAUCAGAAAGCCACGGCUAACUACGUG